AGUUCCUUAUAUAAUCAAUUACUCAAAGACUAAAAUAUCACAUUUGUUUGUAUAUAGGCUAUCCACUGUAUAGCUUACAUUAAGUUGAUUCCUGUUUCAGUCAUAUCUUUGAUGACAUACGAGCGGGUCAAACAAAAACACCCUAAUGAUUGGUUGACAAUAGAGUCUCCCACAAUGCAGGCGACAUCUGCAGGAUGAAGCUGGGGAAGUGCAACUGCAGAUACUUGCAGUCGAAGCCGUCAAAACGUAAUGACCUUUGAUCAUAGGAUUUUUGGAAGGUUCAUGCAGUAGACAUGUAGGCGCAAGUCAGACAAUUGUUUUAACAUAAUGCAACAUUGAAAAGCGGUCACCGACUUGAAUUGACAAAAGUGAUCAGCUCGAACGCGCCCACUGUAUGUACAUUUGUAGCCAAUCCCCUCGAUUGUAGCCUAGACGUCGAUAGAUACACGUUUUCAUCUGAACGAAAAGACAGCAACGUACCAAAACAGAGGGAGAAAGUCAGCUAUAUUGCGCGCUGUUCGUAUAUGGGUGUUAAUCAAUGUGUAGGAUGUCGUGGGUCAGAGGCUUCUUCGUAGCCAGAGUGGACGAGCGAAAGACCGCGUGGGGGGAGCGCAAUGGCAGCAAGUCCAACAAGCGGAAGGACUGUGGCUCAGGGUCGUCUCUCUGCAACCCCCGCUACAUGAGCUGCCUGCAGGAAGCUGAGAACCUGGAUCCACCACCUCACACCCCCCAGCACUACCACUGUGGUGGAGGGGGCGCGGGGCCCANNNNNNNNNNUGUUCAUAUCCCUGACUGUUGUUAUUCUACCUACCCUCAUGGUCAUAUCCCUGACUGUUGCUGUUUUACAGCUAAUUUCAUGCUAUUCUACACAUUAUGCCAUGGGGUGGAGGGAAAUGUUUACAGUUUUUAAUAUGAUAUCUGACUGAGACUGACUAGCAAAUCAAUUGGGGCCCCCCGGACAGUAAUUAGAUUAUGAUUACUAAGUUUAGAUAGCUGGCUGCUAGACUGACUUACCAAUCUAAAAAACGGUAGUGCAUCAUGGGCUAAUAGAGUCAGUGUUAGUAGCUAGGUUUCCAUCCAAUUGGCGACAGAUUUUCAUGCGAAUAUUCUCAAAUCUGCAUGAAAACAAUAUGUACGUUUUCUCACCAGAGAUGUUUCCAUCAAAUUGACUAGUUGCUGAUAAAAGGCUGUGUGUGUGAUGACGUGGUGCACAUAAAAAACAACAUGUUUUGGCGUACUAAUUCCCAAGUACUGAAUAAAAAAAGUACAAGUUACAUCGCAUUUUCACCUCUACUGAUGGUUUUCUCACAACGAAAUGUUGUGUUAUAUAGCGAGUGCACCCAGUCUGCCACAUGCUCUCUAGCCAACAGCACGCAGAUACAUACAGCAUGAUAGAGCACACGAUUAGCCUACAUGAUCAGAUUAUUAUUGACAAAAGAGUGUAGUCUUGUUAUUUGUCAAAUGGUACCCAAGCAUCAAUGAUGAUGUCACCAGAAUCAGACCCUCGAUAUUUAGGAGCGCAUCACCUUGCACUUUCACCGCCCUGUGAAGUUCAACAUAAUUGAUUUAAUCUGUAGCCUAAUAAACUGCAUGCUUUCCUGAAGAGUCGUAGUGGGAGGAUCACACAACAUGUCAGUACGUGACUCCAAGUUUACAUCAAUAUGAUGGUUAUUUUAUCAAUAUUUGCGCAUAAAAGCGUUUCCACCGACAUUUCUGGCAUAAUUCAUUUUACAGACACAAAAAGAUCCCAUCUUGUCUAGCGUAUUUUGUUUUGUCGCCAUUUGUAAAGUUUACUGAAAAUGUUUAGUUUUUUUGCCGACAUGUACUUUACUCACCUCAAAAGGUUGGAUGGAAACCUGGGUAGGGAUUGACAUAACAACAAAAACUGUUGAUGCACAACCCAAUUUUGGAAUUUCAACUAAUUUUUCUGUAUUUUACUAUUCUAACUUGCAACAGUAAGUUAAAAAAUAAACAAAUAAACAAAAAAUAUGUUAAAUUGUUCCGAGGGGCUUCAGAAGGAGGGUCGUGGGGCGCCAGCUGCCCAUUCCUGUUAUAUUCCAAUGUCCUUGACAUGUGCUGAAUGCAGACAUAAGUCAGCUUGACUGUGCCUGGGCGUGUCCCAAAUGGCAGCCACUUCCCUACAAUAGUGCAACACUUUUGAUCAGAGCCCUAUGGGCCACAAUCUAAAAGAGUGCACUAUAUAGGGAAUGGGGUUCCAUAUGGGACACGGAGAGUGAGUCAUCAGGGCUAAUGGGGGACAGGAAACAUGCACAAUUUAAUCUGGAGUGGAGGGCUCUUCAUCUCGUGUGUGUGUGUGUGUGUGUGUGUGUGUGUGUGUGUGUGUGUGUGUGUACGUACUUACUGUGCAUGUGUGUGUUUCAUCUCUGAUGACUGCUAAAUGCCCACUCAUAGGGCCUUUGUUCUCUAAUAGGGCAAACUCAACCCUGCCCUGAUGUUACGGGGAGAUUGAUAUAAUAUAACUACACUAACUACACUGAAAGGAUAUGGAUGGAUGGAAAGCUAGUUUCCACAAAUGUUAUGGAAAUCCAAACAGCACUAGAAGAAGUGUAUUUGGAAUGGAAGGGACCAUAUUGAAUUCCAGUGAUAGGCUUAGGGCGAUUUAUCUACAUGGUUGAUGUACAGUGCACUGAAUAGCAUGAUGAUUAGCAGUCACACUUCAGUAUCUGCAAACAGAAAGAUUUGCAUGUGAAGGCCCUCUCUCUGGGUGGGGGUGGAAUGGGAUCAGGUGGUGACGGAGAGGAUGAAUGAUUAUAAAUUAAAUUUGACAAUAUGGCUCGUCUCUUUUAUUGAUUAGUGCAAAUACACUGCUACACUUUGAGUUAGAGUUUGCUAUUGGCUGGCUGCACACUCCUUCCAUUUACUAAAAAAACAGCUGAUACCCAGAAAGAUUUUCAGUUGUAUAACACUGCAUUAAGUUGCUCUUAUAAGUUUAGGGUUAUUUUUUGUUAUUACACGAGGAAUAAGCUAUACCUUAGUGUUCAGAGGUCCAGGUCAGGUGGCCUUCAGAGGCAGGAAGUGAUGUAAUGACACUG
rnacentral:lncRNA from 13 species